rnacentral:lncRNA from 1 species
CUUGGGCCCCAUAAGAGACCAACUGAAUAAAACAAUCUGAGCAUAGGGCCCAGCAAGCUGUGUUUUAACAAGCCCUCGGUGUGAUUUCACGGCACGCUGAAGUUCAAGAACCACUUGUGAAGAGCUUUGGCAAACAAGGGGAGGGGCAGCUUGGGAUUCUGUGUCACCAGGAAUCACUCUCCAGGUCCUUGAUCCUCUUGAGGAAGAUUGACCUGUGACUCUGCUUUUACUCAUUGAGCACAUCACGGACUUUUUCGUGCUUUGGAGCCCUAGACAGCACUUCAGUGCUUUAGGUCUACUCACGAAAAAUGUUUAGGAGGAGCCACAGGAAAUAAUGAGUUGGGGUGGAACUAGCCUAGAAUUCCAUGUCACUACAAUCCACUUUCCAUGUGAUUGAUUCAUUGAUCCGUCUGGAAGGGGAGCUGAAGAUGAAACAAUGUCGUGAGGCUCAUCAAGGAACACAGGAAACCAAAGCCCUGAACUGAAACUGAAAUUGGUACCAGAAGAGAAGUUGCACAAACCAGAACUUCAGUUGUAAUGUGGGGAUACUUUUGGAGUUGCUUAUUGGGUGGUAGUGGAGUAGAGAGCAAAAAAAUAUUUCUCUCCACGUCCUCAGGUUAAAUUCUAAUAGCUCUUGGAACUCAGAGGGAAAGCGACUUAACAAGCUGUCUCCUCUAGACCUUGAGGAUUGUGGUCCCACUGAGGUCUAGAUGUCAACUUCAAGGAUUGAGGAAAAGCCGCACUGCAGAUUGAAUAAAAUGCAGACAGAGGAACAUGAGUCCCCGUUCUAGUCGCCCAGCAUCAGUAUACAAGGAAAUCUGGAGCCUUUUUGUCAUUCUGAUUCUGGAAGCCUUUUCUGACUCCAGCAGGAUCUCCUGGACUGCUGAAAGCUGAGUCCAGGAACAAAUCAC